AACAAACCGUUGAAGCGGAGAUAAAGCUAAUUAUGCUUGUACAGAGAGCCCAUGGUGCUGAGAAUGGGGCAAAAAACAGGUUAGCAAAUGGACCGCUGAGGGUGCAGUCAAAUGAACGGUAUGCCUAUGAAGCUGUUCAGAGUAUUCUGCGACGUUAGGAUGUGCGUUAAUCAUCAGGGGUAUGAUAGUAUCCUGCAAAGUGCACGGCUGAGCCGUGAAUCAAGGUGGUACCGCGGAUAAGUAUAUUCGUCCUUGAC
rnacentral:ncRNA from 1 species